rnacentral:lncRNA from 1 species
UUCCUUUUGCUCUAUCCCAUCUCUUGCUGCCUGAAAUGCCUGAACUGGGGGCCUUAGAACCCGAAGCCUGUGCCUUUGACUGUCUCUGAAUAUUGGCACUUGCUUCCAUUUUCCUGGCUGCAUCCACAAUAGAGUGGAAACUCUCCUUUUCUGCUGGAAGAAUCAAGGAAGAAUACCUGGGAUGCAAUCUCAUAGUAUAUCUCCUUGCCUUCUUCUGAUCAGUAUCAUAGGCUUGACCCACAUACUGAAGCAAAUCCAGGAACUUAUCUG